AUGCGCUAUCAGCAUCUCAGCAAUUGUUGUUUCUUCACAGAAAUGAAAGGGGCGGUAAAAACUAGGAGCACCGCCGAAUCGAUGCAGAAGGUUGUGGAGAGUCCCUGUUCUGUGAAGAUAGUGGAACAGACAGAGAAGGAGACAGGUGAGCAGAGCCAUCCCCAAGCAGGUCUUCAGCUUCCUGAAAGCAAAAGCUGGCCCACAGGGAAACCAUCCUGCGAACUUCUCGUGUGUCCUCAAACAAAGGAGCAGCAUGAGCCCCCUGAAACCUUCCCAGCAAAGACCAUGGGAUGUUGCACUUGGUCUUUGGGGCAGCUGAGAGAGCCUCAUGGCCUUGAGAGCAUGAGUGGGGUUCCACGGUAGGAAACAUUGGUCCAAACCCAUGGCAUUGCUAUCAGGCCCCCGUUUCCUGCCAACGUCAUAUGUUCUUCCCCAAAAGCUGUGCUAAUCAUUUCUUGUUCUUCCUUUGUGAAAGGUCUUUGCUAAAUUGCCUCUUUUAUCUCUUUUCAUGUGAACAUUAUGCUAAGAACUUGGGACCGAGAUCCGCAGUGUCCAAAAGCUAAUAGAGUUUCAUCAGCAUUUAAGUAAGUAUGCAGGAUCCCACUCCUCUUGACUGCGGUCAUCUUUGGGAACAUCUCAGGUGGGAUGUAUCACUGUGGAGAGAAGUGAGCUCCUCUGGAGUCUACUCCUCUGAGUUAGUUCCCCACAGAAGCCCUUCCAGUCCUCAGCAGACUGAGACUGAGUCCACUGAGACUUUGGGAAGGGAUGGGUUUUAUCCUAGGGGCACACCUCAGUGAUGUCAGGGGCAUCCUACUCCAGCAGAGUGUAUAACUGUGGUGGGGAGUGGAAAGCUUUCAAAGAAUGGGCUCAGAGGAGGAUGUCGGGAGGGGUAACAGGUCAUUGUGAGAAUUCCCUCAUUGCUGUAUGGUAAAGAGGAAUGUCUCACAUUUUUGUGAGACUUCCCUGUGACGAGUAGGGCAUGAGACAAUGCCGGGUCUUCCUCUGCCCAGUGAAGCAAUGAACAUUCUUCACCCUAUACUUUCUUGCAGUUGCUAUCACUGGAGCUCCUCAUCUUACAGUCCCUGGUGGAAAAAACAUGACUACCCAAGCAGGUGAGAGCCUGGCUAUGCUGUCUGGAGACAGAGGGCCUGGGAGCAGUGCACUUAUCUUGGGAUGAAUUAGAAGGGCACUGCUGGGUCCCUUCCUCUGCCUCCUGGGGUCCCAUCCUACCUCGAAAUCCCCAGUGCUGCUCCAGAGAUCAUACGUAACUGCUGGGAAGGUC
rnacentral:lncRNA from 1 species